GAUGAACGCUAGCUACAGGCUUAACACAUGCAAGUCGAGGGACCGGCGCACGGGUGAGUAACACGUAUCCAACCUGCCCUUUACUCGGGGAUAGCCUUUCGAAAGAAAGAUUAAUACCCGAUGUAAAGGAUGGGGAUGCGUUCCAUUAGGUUGUUGGUGAGGUAACGGCUCACCAAGCCUUCGAUGGAUAGGGGUUCUGAGAGGAAGGUCCCCCAUAUGGGAAGUGAGACAGGGUCCAAACUCCUACGGGAGGCAGCAGUGAGGAAUAUUGGUAAAUGGGCUUUAGCCUGAACCAGCCAGGUAGCGUGAAGGAUGAAGGCUUAUGGGUCGUAAACUUCUUUUAUAUAAGAAUAUGUAUUAGAUGAAUAAGGAUCGGCUAACUCCGUGCCAGCAGCCGCGGUAAUUC
rnacentral:rRNA from 1 species